rnacentral:rRNA from 1 species
AUACGUAGGGGGCAAGCGUUGUCCGGAAUUCAUUGGGCGUAAAAGAGCGCGUAGGCGGCCCUGUAAGUCCGCUGUGAAAGUCAAGGGCUCAAACCCUUGGAUGCCGGUGGAUACUGCAGGGCUAGAGUCCGGAAGAGGCGAGUGGAAUUCCUGGUGUAGCGGUGAAAUGCGCAGAUAUCAAGGAGGAACACCGAUGGCGAAGGCAGCUCGCUGGGACGGU